CAGCCGCCGCGGUAAUACCGAGGGUGCGAGCGUUAAUCGGAUUUACUGGGCGUAAAGCGUGCGUAGGCGGCUAAUUGAGUCGGAUGUGAAAUCCCCGAGCUUAACUUGGGAAUUGCAUUCGAUACUGGUUAUCUAGAGUGUGGGAGAGGAUGGUAGAAUUCCAGGUGUAGCGGUGAAAUGCGUAGAGAUCUGGAGGAAUACCGAUGGCGAAGGCAGCCAUCUGGCCUAACACUGACGCUGAGGUACGAAAGCAUGGGGAGCAAACAGGAUUAGAUACCCCCGUAGUCCCUGUCUCUUAUAC
rnacentral:rRNA from 1 species